rnacentral:rRNA from 1 species
AUUGAACGCUGGCGGCAGGCUUAACACAUGCAAGUCGAGCGGAGCGUGGGUGCUUGCACCUUAGCUUAGCGGCGGACGGGUGAGUAAUGCUUAGGAAUCUGCCUAUUAGUGGGGGACAACAUUCCGAAAGGAAUGCUAAUACCGCAUACGCCCUACGGGGGAAAGCAGGGGAUCUUCGGACCUUGCGCCAAUAGAUGAGCCUAAGUCGGAUUAGCUAGUUGGUGGGGUAAAGGCCUACCAAGGCGACGAUCUGUAGCGGGUCUGAGAGGAUGAUCCGCCACACUGGGACUGAGACACGGCCCAGACUCCUACGGGAGGCAGCAGUGGGGAAUAUUGGACAAUGGGCGGAAGCCUGAUCCAGCCAUGCCGCGUGUGUGAAGAAGGCCUUUUGGUUGUAAAGCACUUUAAGCGAGGAGGAGGCUACUUAGAUUAAUACUCUGGGAUAGUGGACGUUACUCGCAGAAUAAGCACCGGCUAACUCUGUGCCAGCCGCCGCCGUAA